AGUGAACGCUGGCGGUAGGCCUAACACAUGCAAGUCGAACGGCAGCACAGUAAGAGCUUGCUCUUACGGGUGGCGAGUGGCGGACGGGUGAGGAAUACAUCGGGAUCUACUUUUUCGUGGGGGAUAACGUAGGGAAACUUACGCUAAUACCGCAUACGACCUACGGGUGAAAGCAGGGGAUCUUCGGACCUUGCGCGAUUGAAUGAGCCGAUGUCGGAUUAGCUAGUUGGCGGGGUAAAGGCCCACCAAGGCGACGAUCCGUAGCUGGUCUGAGAGGAUGAUCAGCCACACUGGAACUGAGACACGGUCCAGACUCCUACGGGAGGCAGCAGUGGGGAAUAUUGGACAAUGGGCGCAAGCCUGAUCCAGCCAUACCGCGUGGGUGAAGAAGGCCUUCGGGUUGUAAAGCCCUUUUGUUGGGAAAGAAAAGCAGCAGGUUAAUACCCCGCUGUUCUGACGGUACCCAAAGAAUAAGCACCGGCUAACUUCGU
rnacentral:rRNA from 1 species